GUCGAAGUUUUACUUGUAUUUUUCAGGAUGUUGAAUCGUUCUCAAUGCGCAGCUUUCUGGUGUUAUUGCUACAACACAACAUACGCUGGCACAGAGCCACAGACCGUAAAAACUAGCAGGAACCUUAUGGAUAAUUUGGGUAAAAAUUGGUAGCUCAUUAAUAUUCUAUCUUGUAACUAUCAACGACGAUCGGGAAUCCGACAUCUGAAUCUGACAUACACCAAAAAUGUGUGCCGAAACCUAUACUCGCCUGCGCACAGAUGCCCCCAGCGAGUAAUUAUAAGCGUUAAGUUGACCGCUAAAUUUAACACGCUGGCCUAGUUUUUCAAAGCGCGGAGGAAUAAUAUAGUACUCCUAUCUGGCUAUCAUAUAAAAUGGAAAAUUAUGAACCGCAAAAACAAUUAAAGACAUGUAAAUUUAUUUUUAGCACAAGCAUGCAGUUACGACGUCGCGAAUAAGGCCUGUUUUAUAUGUCGAAUUUUCAUCAUGAGCUUCACUUUUGAAUUUACUAUAUGAGAAAAUUGUUAAACACGUCCGAAUUUAUCAAUAUGAUAAAUUCGCGGC